UACAUUCAUACGUACGUACAUCAAGCAGCUGACUUUCUCUGUACGGAAAAAUUUUAGAUACCUAAGCAAAUACAAUUGUCGAUUGUUUAACCAGAAAACAAAUCAUAAAUACUAGCGUAUACAAAUAAAAAAAAAACAGAAACUCUAAUGCAAAAUGGAUGAGUUGACGAAUUUUCUCAAGCAGGCUGGAAAAGAAUUCCUGAAUGUGGCCGGCGAAGCCGCUAUGGGUGCGGCAAAAGAGGUGGUCGGUUCGGUUAUUAAUGAAGUUUUCAUUAAAAAAGAGGCUGAUACCAAACGUGUUCUUCCAAGCAUUAAAAAUAUGCGCGUUCUUGGAGAACGAGGCAGUGGUUCCCGAGUUCAAGAAGACAUUCAAGAUUUUGAGGCCAUCCGAAGCAUGUGUCUGACGAAUGGAUCAUUAUUUGAAGAUCCAUUAUUUCCAGCCAACAACGAAUCGCUUAUGUUUUCGCAACGACCUGAUCGACACAUCGAAUGGUUAAGGCCCCAUGAGAUCGCUAAUGAUCCACAGUUCUUUGUGGAAGGCUACUCACGUUUCGAUGUGCAACAAGGCGAAUUAGGCGACUGUUGGUUACUGGCAGCCACUGCAAAUUUGACGCAGGACCCAAAUCUAUUCUUUCGCGUUGUGCCUCCAGAUCAGAACUUUGAAGAAAAUUAUGCAGGCAUCUUUCAUUUUUGCUUCUGGCAAUACGGCAAAUGGAUUGAUGUAGUGGUCGAUGAUCGCCUGCCGACAUAUCGUGGUGAAUUGAUGUACAUGCAUUCCACUGAGAAAAAUGAGUUCUGGAGUGCUUUGCUGGAGAAAGCCUACGCCAAACUACAUGGUUCAUAUGAAGCAUUAAAAGGUGGCACCACUUGUGAGGGUAUGGAAGAUUUCACUGGCGGUGUAACGGAAUGGUACGAUUUGAAAGAGGCACCACCAAAUCUAUUCAAUAUUCUCCAUAAAGCGGUUGAACGUAACUCAUUAAUGGGUUGUUCAUUGGAACCUGAUCCGAAUGUUUUGGAAGCCGAAACACCCCAAGGCCUAAUUCGAGGCCAUGCAUAUUCGAUAACGCAAGUUUGCUUAAUCGAUAUCUCUGUACCUAAUCGACAGGGUAAGAUACCAAUGAUACGUAUGCGUAAUCCUUGGGGUAAUGAGGCCGAAUGGAACGGCCCAUGGAGUGAUAGUUCACCUGAAUGGCGUUACAUACCUGAGGAUCAGAAGCAAGAAAUCGGUUUGACAUUCGAUCGUGAUGGUGAAUUUUGGAUGUCAUUCCAAGAUUUCCUAAACAAUUUCGAUCGUGUUGAAAUUUGUAAUUUAUCGCCAGACUCGCUUACGGAAGAGCAGCAAAGUAGUGGCAAACGUAGAUGGGAAAUGUCUAUGUUUGAGGGCGAAUGGACGCAAGGCAUGACGGCAGGUGGAUGUCGUAAUUUCUUAGAUACUUUCUGGAGUAAUCCACAGUAUGUUAUAACGUUGACCGAUCCUGAUGAGGAUGAUGAUGAUGGCAAGUGCACGGUUAUUGUGGCAUUAAUGCAAAAAAAUCGCCGCUCAAAACGUAAUAUGGGCAUGGAAUGUUUAACAAUCGGCUUUGCUAUCUAUCAUUUGGCCGAAGAAGAUUUAAACACUAGGCCACAGGGCUUAAAUUUCUUCAAAUACCGCGCAUCCGUCGGACGUUCGCCACACUUUAUAAAUACACGAGAGGUCUGUGCACGCUUUAAACUACCGCCAGGUCAUUACUUAAUCGUACCCUCAACAUUUGACCAGAAUGAGGAAGGUGAAUUCGUUAUUCGUGUCUUCUCGGAAACUAAGAAUAACAUGGAAUCCUUCCAAUACUACUAAUAUGCCAGAGAGAAUGACGACCAUGUUGGAUAUGGAAGCCCGACUGAUGAUAAGGUGUUGCCAAACUUUCCAAAUCCGAUCGAUCCGAAACCAAUGGAUACGCAUAAUGAAAGCCUCUUAAAACUGUUCAAAAGUAUUGCCGGUCCAGACAUGGAAGUAGAUUGGAUGGAACUGAAGCGAAUACUAGAUCAUUCAAUGAAGGAUG
rnacentral:misc_RNA from 1 species